GUGCAUUCAGUGCAGCCCGCAGUGGGUGUCUGCCUCGGUCUGAAGUGUGAGAUGCAUGAUCCUCCGUUCUUCACCGGGUGAACAUCCAUUGCGGGCGCAUGCACC
rnacentral:pre_miRNA from 1 species